UGCAGAAGAGUCCUGUGGAGUUUGAUGAGGAGAAGAGGCUCACAUUGUUAUAGGAGUCACCCUCAGAACCCAUCUGCCUGGGCAGAGACUGGCUAUGUGGCUUCCCUGCUCAUCUCCUGGUGCCUGACCUCACAGGCUGGAGUGGUGUGAUUGACUUGGUGCUGGAUAACCCUUCCAGGGUGGCGUGGAGCUGAAGGAUCCACCAGUUUCCAGUACAGAAGGGCUUCAAGCUUGAGAUUGGGGUAGUGGUGGUGGGAGCGGGAGUCCACAUGUCGUUUCCUUCACUGGCAACUGCAAACAGGGAAGAGAAGGUGGUUAAUGAGGCAGUCACAGGAAUGGACUGGUAAUGGUGAACACAUGCACCCCAGCUUUGUGGCAGAGGCCAGCUAAGAGACCCCUUGCCUCCAUCCAAGUUGGAGGCUAGCAAAGCUUGACCAGUGUGGAGACAGCACUUGGGGAUGUACUGUAGACUUUUGGAAUGGGAAACACCAAUACACUGUCAUCCAGGCACAGUCUGCUCAAGGAGGUGCUAUGAGGGCAUCGACCACGUCUUGUUUAUGUCAGUUGUGUAGGUACAACUAUUUGUGAUGUGGGUUUAAACAGCUCAGCAGAUAACACAGUUAAUUUUUGCGAGACUGUUUUUAACCCCAUCAGUUUACUAAAGAAAACAGGGACUGCCUCUUGCCUUAAAUUGUCAUUUUCAAAACUGCUGUCCUUUGGAGAGCCCAGUUCAGGCCGUCAGUCCAACAUGCACAUCCCCAACAGUAGAGCUCAGCUAUCACUCUUGCUGCUAACAAGGUAGAGCAGAGGCUGGCUUUCUCUCAGCGUGCUGGUGGCAUAUGCUUGCUUUAAAGAGCAACAUCAGCACAUCUUUUGACUGGUGAGAUAGAACUUGUGGAUGCUGUGGUGUACCUAAGCGGCCAGCAACUUUUCUAGAUUAAGUGGAAAGGACAACCAGUUCUCUGGCGGCAGGAUUUCCUGUGAGAGGUUCUGUGCUCCAUGUUAUGCAGGAAAUUGCCCCUGACCUUAAAAAUCAGUGACUGGUGGGUUAUAGAAAAAUUACCUACAACAAUGGCCUGAUUUCUCUCAACCUGUAUGAAACUGGACCAAAAGAGAAGAAAAUACAGUGAAAAACCUAGGUGUGCACAGGACCCAAGUGUUCAGUGUUUUAUAAGGCAAGUCUCAGCAACACCACCCAGGAUUUCCUCCCAGAUAUUUUGAGGCUUUUUUUUAAAAAAAAAAAUCCUUUGUCUAAAAGCUACUGAUAAAUAAUAACGUGUUGAGUCCACACCCAGCCCAGAGACUGCAAGGUACAGGCAGGCCUGUCAUAUCCUUAGCCUACACCAGAAUAUACUCCUCUCUGUGGAAAUAACACGUCUGCUGUACUAGAGAUUGUAUUAAAUCUUUUCCCUGAAAGAC